rnacentral:tRNA from 1 species
GCCUCGGUAGCUCAGUGGUAGAGCGAUUGCAUGGUAAGCAGUAGGUCGCGAGUUCAAUUCUCGUCCGGGGCU